UGGGAAUAUUGCACAAUGGGCGCAAGCCUGAUGCAGCGACGCCGCGUGGGGGAUGAAGGCCUUCGGGUUGUAAACCCCUUUCAGUAGGGAAGAAGCGAAAGUGACGGUACCUACAGAAAAAGCGCCGGCUAACUACGUGCCAGCAGCCGCGGUAAUACGUAGGGCGCAAGCGUUGUCCGGAAUUAUUGGGCGUAAAGAGCUCGUAGGCGGUUUGUCGCGUCUGCUGUGAAAACCCGAGGCUCAACCUCGGGCCUGCAGUGGGUACGGGCAGACUAGAGUGUGGUAGGGGAGACUGGAAUUCCUGGUGUAGCGGUGGAAUGCGCAGAUAUCAGGAGGAACACCAAUGGCGAAGGCAGGUCUCUGGGCCACAACUGACGCUGAGGAGCGAAAGCGUGGGGAGCGAACAGGAUUAGAUACCCUGGUAGUCCACGCCGUAAACGUUGGGCACUAGGUGUGGGUUCCUAUCGACGGGAUCCGUGCCGUAGCUAACGCAUUAAGUG
rnacentral:rRNA from 1 species